rnacentral:rRNA from 1 species
UGGGNNNNNUUGCACAAUGGGCGCAAGCCUGAUGCAGCGACGCCGCGUGGGGGAUGACGGCCUUCGGGUUGUAAACUCCUUUCGCUAGGGACGAAGCUUUUUGUGACGGUACCUAGAUAAGAAGCACCGGCUAACUACGUGCCAGCAGCCGCGGUAAUACGUAGGGUGCGAGCGUUGUCCGGAAUUACUGGGCGUAAAGGGCUCGUAGGUGGUUUGUCGCGUCGUCUGUGAAAUUCCGGGGCUUAACUCCGGGCGUGCAGGCGAUACGGGCAUAACUUGAGUACUGUAGGGGUAACUGGAAUUCCUGGUGUAGCGGUGAAAUGCGCAGAUAUCAGGAGGAACACCGAUGGCGAAGGCAGGUUACUGGGCAGUUACUGACGCUGAGGAGCGAAAGCAUGGGUAGCGAACAGGAUUAGAUACCCUGGUAGUCCAUGCCGUAAACGGUGGGCGCUAGGUGUGAGGGUCUUUUCACGACUUUCGUGCCGUAGCUAACGCAUUAAGCGCCCCGCCUGGGGAGUACGGCCGCAAGGCUA